AUUUACAGCCGUCAUUGUAUUUGGCUGAAGCACCACCGAACCCAGCCCUUCCCUCCCCAUUUUGGUCAUCUCGUUCUCGUCAACCUUUACGUCAGUGGACUUCCCGUGCGCUCCCAACCCUUCCGCCCUGAGAAAGCAGAGCAGCGAGGCAGCUCCAUUGGCUUGCAUGAUCGUAUCCGAUGCGUUUGGAUCUGCCUCAACCCGCUCCAGCUCCCUGAAACCAACUAUUUCUACUCCUGUGAUUUCAUCGCUCCUUUCUGGCUGUUUGAUGUUCUCAAUCUUCUAUUGCUUGCAGAAGCAUGGUCAAGACAUCCGCCUUGCUCGAUUUCAUGAGUUAUGAAUUUCGGCCUCAUUGAUGGACUAUUGGCAACACUGCAUCAGCUGCAAACAAUCAGUAAGAAGAAGUUGAACAUCAUUGCUGGUGACCAAAACAUGGACACGGUCGGACUAGUUCAGCCUUUUCGCCCGCAUCUCCCCGACACCCGCAACUAUAUAAGUAGCAGACAACCGUGAAUUCUACCGCAGGACUCCUGUGCGACCGGUGCCAUCGUCUCUCAUCUCCAGCGGUGGAAGGAAGGGGAGAGGCGUCUUUCACCUCAUCGAAUCCGUCAUUAGGGUUCGCCGAUGAUGAUGAAGGCGUUGGGAUAUCCUUCAUUCGCCGGAUCCCAAGGCUCCUUCUCCUUCUGCCCAUGCUGGCAUCUUCGGCAAGGGUCGAUACAAGUUCUAGGCGUUCGCUGCCAUCCUUCUCCUCUCAUUCUCCUAUCGGUGGCUUAGUAGGCGAUCGAGGAGUGGGAGAAGGUGAUGAGGCACAUGUGGUAUGCCCACGCCCACGCCCAAAACCGACGGAUUCGGCUGCUGCGGUUUUGGCAUGAAGCGUUCGAUGCGGCUUACAAGGACCUCUCCGGUGACGAUCCUGAUGCCAGGGACACCACUAUGGCCGAAAUCGGUCGAAUGUUGAUGCGGAUGUUCGAUCCUGAGGCUUCCCUGUGAAAUUUCAAGGCUGCUGAAAUAAAGAGGAACCAAAGACUUGGAGAUUACGUUUCGUCCAUGGAGUCAGGAUCCUUGUCUUCAGAUGCCCGAUAGCAGUUGUCUUUAAAUUCUAACAAACUACCAAUGUCAAGUGAACUUCUUCGACAACCACUGAUAUUAUGUGCUUUGGCAGCGACUCUGAGAUUCCAAACCUGUGCAUUAGCUGAAACUUGUAACUGCAUUCCUUGUCAUGUUGUCUGCUGCUCUUUGAGUUUGUACAUAAAUGCUGUCUUUCAACCUCCCAGUCUGCAAUUUCACUUUCUUUUUGCCAGUUAGGAAAAAGACGAUUAAUCACACAAAGUUCAUCACUGACUCAGUCUCAAUCCUAGCUCUAAAGACAGUAAAUGGCUGUUCUAUCUUGGUCUAAGCAUAAUCUUCGCUUUACAACUGUACCUGUACAACUUGUGUAGGCCUAUCAUGUUAAGUUUUCGUUACAAUAUAUUUGAUCUUCAUGCCAA